AAUGAUCUGAGAAAUUGAGAGAGAAAAGGAGAGAAAGAGAGCCAGAGAGAAGAAGAAGUAUAAACCAGAGAGAUUAAGAGUAAUCUGAGCGUAAUAAUUGCAUCAUUAUCAUCUCCUCCUCCUCUGCUUAGGGAUUUAGUAGAAAUGAAAUGGAAUCAGUCUAAGAAAAAGUAGUUAUUGUGGGAGCAAAUCAUAAAAUUGAUCCUUGUACUCCCUCCAUCAUCAUCGUAGACUUCUCAAGGGGAGGAUUCAAGUACUUGAAAGAGUUGUUCAUAAAUCUCAAUCCAUCAUCACCACCACAAUUGCUUAUUGCUACUCCUCAAUCCAUCACCACCACAAUCACCAUCGUCUCUUCUUUAUGUUUUUGGUUCUUAUCAAAUUUUGUGUGUAUAGAUGUUGUUAUGAUGAUACUACUCCUUUAUACUGUUCUUGUGGAUGCUCAAUUUUACAUUUUAAUUCAGUAGUGUUGCUUAAUUUUUAACAUAAUCUUACUGAUACACAGCACGCCCUUUCAUCCUCUGCAUAUAUCCUUCACCAUGUUGGCAGACCAAGUAUUGCAAAUGAUUGUAUUGGCCUUAUAGAAUGAGGAUGAUAUGGACCCUUCUUCCCUCUCUUUAUUAAUUGUUGAUGAGGAUCAAAAGGGUGCAUGAGAACAUGACUAGUGAAAUUUAAACCACUGGUGAUGGUCAGAAGCAGCAACAACACCUGCACAAAAACAAGAGGGAAAGAGGAGGCGUAUAAGUACUACUUAUGUGUUGGGGAAGGAGGAGAAGAGCCAACAAAGAAAAGGAAGAUGUUGCAGCAAUAGAUUUGAUGACGUCCAACACCAAUCCCAACAGACUAACUCUGAUUUUGGUGUCUCGUUCAAUAAAAUUGAGCCUGAUGGCGUAUCAACUGUGCGUCCGCUGAAUCUGCAUUGAAUAUAAGUCGUCGUACUGAAGACCUCAUAUCUUUUGCUUUUCAUGGAAAUCAUGAGGCCAACAAAGAGAAAAGCAUGAGACCUCCAAUUAUUGAUUAUGCGGCGUGAGCAUAAGUGUGCUGAUAUCAAUUUUUUUGAAGCAGCGGAUUUGUUGAAAUGAAUUACCAACAUUCAUCCAGUAGAUCAAAGGCCUAAACUAGAAAUUGAAGUAGGCAUGUUUUGCAGGAACUGGUUGACUCACCACCGAGAUCCACCCAUUCAGUAUUUGGAUACUAGUUGUGACAGAGAUAUGGAGAACAUUUAUGAUUCGGAAGUUUAUAUAUAAGCUCAGAAUCUGGUUAAGACAUUCGAUAAGAACACACCUGUAGGACUCAAAAACCCCACAUGGACUUGAUGCCGAUGGAGGUGUUCACCUAUGAGAUAACCUGGAUGCUGGUUGCCAAGGUGAGGCUUCCCUUCUUUAUGUCGUGGUCUUUUUUUUCGUAUUUGAGUCAUGCAUGUAUCCUUUACUCGAUAAGUUUUGCUCCUUUUUUUUCCCAUUCUGCUGAGUACGUUUUGGUUUACCUUGGACUUCACCUACAACAUAUGCUGCAUAAGAAAAUGAGGCCAUGGAUUUCAAAUUUUCAAGAAACUCAACAGAUGAAAAAGCCAGAUGAUCACCCUAUUUCUCAAAAUCUUGGUCUAUGAAAAAUCAUGGUUCUGCAUUAUCAAUUCAUAAAAGGAUUAUGUCCUUCCGAUUGGUCAGCGAGGUUGAAUCUGAAAGAUUAUUCGGAAACAUGUGGGCUAUGCUUGUCUACGAGAUCAAGAAGCUCGAGGAAGUCGAUGGGGUAAAUCCUUUGGGGGUUGACAUAAACCAAAGACACACCUAAAACCAAAGAGGAGGUGCUCUCGCUUGACAUAAAUUGGGCUGUGUUCGACCAGCAUGGUUGCAUGAGACAAUGAGACCGUGGAUAAUUAAAAAAGUUAUGAAGCUUCUUGAGAAGGAAAUACCAGUGUGGUUGGUCAGGUCGUCGACAGCAUCAAAAAACAAAACCGUCCAUCCCAAAUGCUGGAGCUGCUUGAACUCUCAAUUCUAUGCUGAAACGAUUGUCUGAAUCUAUGGAGGAUGCUCAUAGUAAAAAUAUUUGAGACAGCAUUUCUUAUAUCCAUAUCUAGUGCUAAUCCAAGCACUGAGUUGUCUAGCGUGGAAGGUAUGCCCACUGAAUACAACUUGCAUCAGGAAGAUUCAGUCUGGAACGGAGAGGACAGCAGUGAUCGUGAUGCUUCGUUAAGCGAACUUGUUAGGGAGUGUGAUUCCGUGGAAUAUAGAGAAGUUGCCUUCUUAAGAGGUUGAUUGGGCUCCAACAAGAUGCUCUCUUGGCUUCGAUUAGCCCCGAACUUGUGUCCAUUUGACCAAGUUCUGUUGAAUUUCAUUAUGUUUCGGCCGUAAAGUUGAUUUCAAUGCUUCAGCUUGCAACUCUGCUCUAAUGCAGAUGGGAAUUCAUCUCUGGCGUAGAUGUGGAGUGAUUAUUGAAUGUGCGGUUGUCCUCUUUCUAUUCUCACUGACAAGUAUCGACCUGUUUGCAUAAAACCGAUUCAAUGGCGAACUAGGCAACAGAUAUCCGGUUCAACUAGCUGCUUGACUAGCCUAGAGAGAGUCAGCACGAGCUAAACUAUUCCGUGCCACAGCAUUGCCAGCAAUUUUAGCUUGGACUUGUAGAAGAAAAGGAUUGAUCCGUUGUUUUGAAGCCAACCACAAUUAUAAGACGGAACAAUACCAAUAGUAUAAUAAUCCACUUUAGACCAAAAAAAAUAAUCUGAGGCAGAUGUAAAGCCUAACUUACUCCGGCUUAAUCUCAGAUAUAUAGAAAGCUUUGAUUCGAUAUACAUUUUUCUUACUAAUUAUUUUAAGCUU